ACACAGGGCUCCUUAGUCGUUGUGUGCUUUGGAAUGAUACAGAGAAGAUUAGCAUGGCCCCUGUGCAAGGGUGACACAAAUUCAUAAAGCAUUGCAUAUUGUU
rnacentral:snRNA from 1 species